UACGAAGGGGGCUAGCGUUGCUCGGAAUCACUGGGCGUAAAGCGCACGUAGGCCGAUUGUUAAGUCAGGGGUGAAAUCCUGGAGCUCAACUCCAGAACUGCCUUCGAUACUGAGAGUCUCGAGUCCGGGAGAGGUGAGUGGAACUGCGAGUGUAGAGGUGAAAUUCGUAGAUAUUCGCAAGAACACCAGUGGCGAAGGCGGCUCACUGGCCCGGUACUGACGCUGAGGUGCGAAAGCGUGGGGAGCAAACAGG
rnacentral:rRNA from 1 species